UGGGAAAAUAAGCUUCAGGAUGAGCAGAAAAAGAGAGACAAAACCGAGAAAGAACUGAAGAGCACCAAAGAGGCUUUUGAAAGAAACAAUGAUGAGCUGAAGAAAACUCAAAUUGCACUGGAGCAAAGGGAUGCUGACAUCAGGAAGCUGAAGAAAGAAAAAGACGAAUUGGAGAAGCAGCUUCAGGAUAAGAAGCAGAGAAAGGGGGCUGCUAAGAACCUGCAGAUCCCAGAGAAGAUGCUGAUGGACAAGAACA